UUAAGCGACUAAGCGUACACGGUGGAUGCCCUGGCAGUCAGAGGCGAUGAAGGACGUGCUAAUCUGCGAUAAGCGUCGGUAAGGUGAUAUGAACCGUUAUAACCGGCGAUUUCCGAAUGGGGAAACCCAGUGUGUUUCGACACACUAUCAUUAACUGAAUCCAUAGGUUAAUGAGGCGAACCGGGGGAACUGAAACAUCUAAGUACCCCGAGGAAAAGAAAUCAACCGAGAUUCCCCCAGUAGCGGCGAGCGAACGGGGAGCAGCCCAGAGCCUGAAUCAGUGUGUGUGUUAGUGGAAGCGUCUGGAAAGGCGCGCGAUACAGGGUGACAGCCCCGUACACAAAAAUGCACAUACUGUGAGCUCGAUGAGUAGGGCGGGACACGUGGUAUCCUGUCUGAAUAUGGGGGGACCAUCCUCCAAGGCUAAAUACUCCUGACUGACCGAUAGUGAACCAGUACCGUGAGGGAAAGGCGAAAAGAACCCCGGCGAGGGGAGUGAAAAAGAACCUGAAACCGUGUACGUACAAGCAGUGGGAGCACGCUUAGGCGUGUGACUGCGUACCUUUUGUAUAAUGGGUCAGCGACUUAUAUUCUGUAGCAAGGUUAACCGAAUAGGGGAGCCGAAGGGAAACCGAGUCUUAACUGGGCGUUAAGUUGCAGGGUAUAGACCCGAAACCCGGUGAUCUAGCCAUGGGCAGGUUGAAGGUUGGGUAACACUAACUGGAGGACCGAACCGACUAAUGUUGAAAAAUUAGCGGAUGACUUGUGGCUGGGGGUGAAAGGCCAAUCAAACCGGGAGAUAGCUGGUUCUCCCCGAAAGCUAUUUAGGUAGCGCCUCGUGAAUUCAUCUCCGGGGGUAGAGCACUGUUUCGGCAAGGGGGUCAUCCCGACUUACCAACCCGAUGCAAACUGCGAAUACCGGAGAAUGUUAUCACGGGAGACACACGGCGGGUGCUAACGUCCGUCGUGAAGAGGGAAACAACCCAGACCGCCAGCUAAGGUCCCAAAGUCAUGGUUAAGUGGGAAACGAUGUGGGAAGGCCCAGACAGCCAGGAUGUUGGCUUAGAAGCAGCCAUCAUUUAAAGAAAGCGUAAUAGCUCACUGGUCGAGUCGGCCUGCGCGGAAGAUGUAACGGGGCUAAACCAUGCACCGAAGCUGCGGCAGCGACGCUUAUGCGUUGUUGGGUAGGGGAGCGUUCUGUAAGCCUGUGAAGGUGUGCUGUGAGGCAUGCUGGAGGUAUCAGAAGUGCGAAUGCUGACAUAAGUAACGAUAAAGCGGGUGAAAAGCCCGCUCGCCGGAAGACCAAGGGUUCCUGUCCAACGUUAAUCGGGGCAGGGUGAGUCGACCCCUAAGGCGAGGCCGAAAGGCGUAGUCGAUGGGAAACAGGUUAAUAUUCCUGUACUUGGUGUUACUGCGAAGGGGGGACGGAGAAGGCUAUGUUGGCCGGGCGACGGUUGUCCCGGUUUAAGCGUGUAGGCUGGUUUUCCAGGCAAAUCCGGAAAAUCAAGGCUGAGGCGUGAUGACGAGGCACUACGGUGCUGAAGCAACAAAUGCCCUGCUUCCAGGAAAAGCCUCUAAGCAUCAGGUAACAUCAAAUCGUACCCCAAACCGACACAGGUGGUCAGGUAGAGAAUACCAAGGCGCUUGAGAGAACUCGGGUGAAGGAACUAGGCAAAAUGGUGCCGUAACUUCGGGAGAAGGCACGCUGAUAUGUAGGUGAAG
rnacentral:rRNA from 1 species